AGUGAACGCUGGCGGCAGGCCUAACACAUGCAAGUCGAACGGCAGCACAGUAAGAGCUUGCUCUUACGGGUGGCGAGUGGCGGACGGGUGAGGAAUACAUCGGAAUCUACUUUUUCGUGGGGGAUAACGUAGGGAAACUUACGCUAAUACCGCAUACGACCUACGGGUGAAAGCAGGGGAUCUUCGGACCUUUCGCGAUUGAAUGAGCCGAUGUCGGAUUAGCUAGUUGGCGGGGUAAAGGCCCACCAAGGCGACGAUGCGUAGCUGGUCUGAGAGGAUGAUCAGCCACACUGGAACUGAGACACGGUCCAGACUCCUACGGGAGGCAGCAGUGGGGAAUAUUGGACAAUGGGCGCAAGCCUGAUCCAGCCAUACCGCGUGGGUGAAGAAGGCCUUCGGGUUGUAAAGCCCUUUUGUUGGGAAAGAAAAGCAGCAGGUUAAUACCCCGCUGUUCUGACGGUACCCAAAGAAUAAGCACCGGCUAACUUCGUG
rnacentral:rRNA from 1 species